rnacentral:tRNA from 1 species
GUCGGGUUGCGGUGGUAGCGGUCUGUAAAACCGUCGGCUCAGCCUACGAUGGUUCGAACCCAUCACCCGCCA